rnacentral:rRNA from 1 species
GACGAACGCUGGCGGCGUGCUUAACACAUGCAAGUCGAACGGAAAGGCCCUGCUUUUGUGGGGUGCUCGAGUGGCGAACGGGUGAGUAACACGUGAGUAACCUGCCCUUGACUUUGGGAUAACUUCAGGAAACUGGGGCUAAUACCGGAUAGGAGCUCCUGCUGCAUGGUGGGGGUUGGAAAGUUUCGGCGGUUGGGGAUGGACUCGCGGCUUAUCAGCUUGUUGGUGGGGUAGUGGCUUACCAAGGCUUUGACGGGUAGCCGGCCUGAGAGGGUGACCGGCCACAUUGGGACUGAGAUACGGCCCAGACUCCUACGGGAGGCAGCAGUGGGGAAUAUGGCACAAUGGGCGGAAGCCUGAUGCAGCAACGCCGCGUGCGUGAUGACGGCCUUCGGGUUGUAAACCGCUUUCGCCUGUGACGAAGCGUGAGUGACGGUAAUGGGUAAAGAAGCACCGGCUAACUACGUG